GAGUUUGAUCAUGGCUCAGAUUGAACGCUGGCGGCAGGCCUAACACAUGCAAGUCGAACGGUAACAGGAAACAGCUUGCUGUUUCGCUGACGAGUGGCGGACGGGUGAGUAAUGUCUGGGAAACUGCCUGAUGGAGGGGGAUAACUACUGGAAACGGUAGCUAAUACCGCAUAACGUCGCAAGACCAAAGAGGGGGACCUUCGGGCCUCUUGCCAUCGGAUGUGCCCAGAUGGGAUUAGCUUGUUGGUGGGGUAACGGCUCACCAAGGCGACGAUCCCUAGCUGGUCUGAGAGGAUGACCAGCCACACUGGAACUGAGACACGGUCCAGACUCCUACGGGAGGCAGCAGUGGGGAAUAUUGCACAAUGGGCGCAAGCCUGAUGCAGCCAUGCCGCGUGUAUGAAGAAGGCCUUCGGGUUGUAAAGUACUUUCAGCGGGGAGGAAGGGAGUAAAGUUAAUACCUUUGCUCAUUGACGUUACCCGCAGAAGAAGCACCGGCUAACUCCGUGCCAGCAGCCGCGGUAAUACGGAGGGUGCAAGCGUUAAUCGGAAUUACUGGGCGUAAAGCGCACGCAGGCGGUUUGUUAAGUCAGAUGUGAAAUCCCCGGGCUCAACCUGGGAACUGCAUCUGAUACUGGCAAGCUUGAGUCUCGUAGAGGGGGGUAGAAUUCCAGGUGUAGCGGUGAAAUGCGUAGAGAUCUGGAGGAAUACCGGUGGCGAAGGCGGCCCCCUGGACGAAGACUGACGCUCAGGUGCGAAAGCGUGGGGAGCAAACAGGAUUAGAUACCCUGGUAGUCCACGCCGUAAACGAUGUCGACUUGGAGGUUGUGCCCUUGAGGCGUGGCUUCCGGAGCUAACGCGUUAAGUCGACCGCCUGGGGAGUACGGCCGCAAGGUUAAAACUCAAAUGAAUUGACGGGGGCCCGCACAAGCGGUGGAGCAUGUGGUUUAAUUCGAUGCAACGCGAAGAACCUUACCUGGUCUUGACAUCCACGGAAGUUUUCAGAGAUGAGAAUGUGCCUUCGGGAACCGUGAGACAGGUGCUGCAUGGCUGUCGUCAGCUCGUGUUGUGAAAUGUUGGGUUAAGUCCCGCAACGAGCGCAACCCUUAUCCUUUGUUGCCAGCGGUCCGGCCGGGAACUCAAAGGAGACUGCCAGUGAUAAACUGGAGGAAGGUGGGGAUGACGUCAAGUCAUCAUGGCCCUUACGACCAGGGCUACACACGUGCUACAAUGGCGCAUACAAAGAGAAGCGACCUCGCGAGAGCAAGCGGACCUCAUAAAGUGCGUCGUAGUCCGGAUUGGAGUCUGCAACUCGACUCCAUGAAGUCGGAAUCGCUAGUAAUCGUGGAUCAGAAUGCCACGGUGAAUACGUUCCCGGGCCUUGUACACACCGCCCGUCACACCAUGGGAGUGGGUUGCAAAAGAAGUAGGUAGCUUAACCUUCGGGAGGGCGCUUACCACUUUGUGAUUCAUGACUGGGGUGAAGUCGUAACAAGGUAACCGUAGGGGAACCUGCGGUUGGAUCACC
rnacentral:rRNA from 2 species